GACGAACGCUGGCGGCAGGCCUAACACAUGCAAGUCGAACGAAGUCUUCGGACUUAGUGGCGGACGGGUGAGUAACACGUGGGAACGUGCCUUUAGGUUCGGAAUAACUCAGGGAAACUUAUGCUAAUACCGAAUGUGCCCUUCGGGGGAAAGAUUUAUCGCCUUUAGAGCGGCCCGCGUCUGAUUAGCUAGUUGGUGAGGUAAAGGCUCACCAAGGCUACGAUCAGUAGCUGGUCUGAGAGGAUGACCAGCCACAUUGGGACUGAGACACGGCCCAAACUCCUACGGGAGGCAGCAGUGGGGAAUCUUGCGCAAUGGGCGAAAGCCUGACGCAGCCAUGCCGCGUGGAUGAUGAAGGUCUUAGGAUUGUAAAAUCCUUUCACCGGUGAAGAUAAUGACUGUAGCCGGAGAAGAAGCCCCGGCUAACUUCGUGCCAGCAGCCGCGGUAAAAC
rnacentral:rRNA from 1 species